UACGUAGGGGGCGAGCGUUGUCCGGAUUCAUUGGGCGUAAAGAGCUCGUAGGCGGCUUGGCAAGUCAGGGGUGAAAUCUUUCGGCUCAACCGGAAAAGUGCCUUUGAUACUGGUGGUCUCGAGGGAGGUAGGGGCAUGCGGAACUUCCGGUGGAGCGGUGAAAUGCGUAGAUAUCGGAAGGAACGCCGGUGGCGAAAGCGGCGUGCUGGACCUCUUCUGACGCUGAGGCGCGAAAGCUAGGGGAGCAAACGGGG
rnacentral:rRNA from 1 species